rnacentral:rRNA from 1 species
UACGGAGGGUGCAAGCGUUUGUCCGGAAUCACUGGGCGUAAAGGGCGCGUAGGCGGCUCAUGAAGGCUGUGGUGAAAGUCCGGGGCUCAACCUCGGAUCGGCCGUGGCGACUCGUGGGCUGGAGCACUGUAGAGGCGGGUGGAAUUCCUGGUGUAGCGGUGGAAUGCGCAGAUAUCAGGAGGAACACCGAUGGCGAAGGCAGGUCUCUGGGCAUUAACUGACGCUGAGGAGCGAAAGCAUGGGGAGCGAACAGGA